AUGAACGCUGGCGGCGUGCCUAAUACAUGCAAGUCGAGCGAACGGACGAGAAGCUUGCUUCUCUGAUGUUAGCGGCGGACGGGUGAGUAACACGUGGAUAACCUACCUAUAAGACUGGGAUAACUUCGGGAAACCGGAACUAAUACCGGAUGAUAUUUUGAACCGCAUGGUUCAAAAGUGAAAGACGGUCUUGCUGUCACUUAUAGAUGGAUCCGCGCUGCAUUAGCUAGUUGGUAAGGUAACGGCUUACCAAGGCAACGAUGCAUAGCCGACCUGAGAGGGUGAUCGGCCACACUGGAACUGAGACACGGUCCAGACUCCUACGGGAGGCAGCAGUAGGGAAUCUUCCGCAAUGGGCGAAAGCCUGACGGAGCAACGCCGCGUGAGUGAUGAAGGUCUUCGGAUCGUAAAACUCUGUUAUUAGGGAAGAACAUAUGUGUAAGUAACUGUGCACAUCUUGACGGUACCUAAUCAGAAAGCCACGGCUAACUACGUG
rnacentral:rRNA from 1 species